GCCCCUGUAGCUCAGUGGUCUGAGCGCGGACCAGCGUUGAUAUUUCACACAGCGUUUUCUAGCGAUUUUCCCCAAACCCUAUUCGAAAUCAUCGGCGCUGGUCCGGUUAGCGGUUCGAUUCCGCUCGGGGGCA